rnacentral:rRNA from 1 species
CAGUCGCCGCGGGAACACGUAGGUGGCAAGCGUUGUCCGGAAUUAUUGGGCGUAAAGGGCUCGCAGGCGGUUUCUUAAGCCUGAUGUGAAAGCCCCCGGCUCAACCGGGGAGGGUCAUUGGAAACUGGGAAACUUGAGUGCAGAAGAGGAGAGUGGAAUACCACGUGUAGCGGUGAAAUGCGUAGAGAUGUGGAGGAACACCAGUGGCGAAGGCGACUCUCUGGUCUGUAACUGACGCUGAGGAGCGAAAGCGUGGGGAGCGAACAGGAUUAGAUACCCCCGUAGUCCCUGUCUCUUAUAC